CAUAAUUAACAAAGAAAAAUUAGGACAUACACUACUAGACUUUUGCCUGUGACAAAACUAAAGCUUUCAUAUGGCGAAUGUUCUUUUCUUUACCUUCUUUUAUCUAAGAAGGAUAACGCAUAGCAGUGGUUAGUCAUUUUCUUAUUAGAUAAGUGCUAGUUUAUGCUUUCACAUUUGCAUGUUGAGCUCCUUUUGUUUGUUAGGAGAAUAUUGCUAUUAGGUAGCGAGGAGACAGAUAUG
rnacentral:misc_RNA from 1 species